CCUUUAGCAUAGUAGGCAGUGCAUCAGUCUCAAAAUCUGAAGGUCCAGAGUUCGAUCCUCAGAAGG
rnacentral:tRNA from 1 species